rnacentral:rRNA from 1 species
UAGGGAAUCUUCGGCAAUGGACGAAAGUCUGACCGAGCAACGCCGCGUGAGUGAAGAAGGUUUUCGGAUCGUAAAACUCUGUUGUUAGAGAAGAACAAGGACGUUAGUAACUGAACGUCCCCUGACGGUAUCUAACCGGAAAGCCACGGCUAACUACGUGCCAGCAGCCGCGGUAAUACGUAGGUGGCAAGCGUUGUCCGGAUUUAUUGGGCGUAAAGCGAGCGCAGGCGGUUUCUUAAGUCUGAUGUGAAAGCCCCCGGCUCAACCGGGGAGGGUCAUUGGAAACUGGGAGACUUGAGUGCAGAAGAGGAGAGUGGAAUUCCAGGUGUAGCGGUGAAAUGCGUAGAUAUAUGGAGGAACACCAGUGGCGAAGGCGGCUCUCUGGUCUGUAACUGACGCUGAGGCUCGAAAGCGUGGGGAGCAAACAGG